UACGGAGGGUGCAAGCGUUAUCCGGAUUCACUGGGUUUAAAGGGUGCGUAGGAGGGCAGGUAAGUCAGUGGUGAAAUCCUCCAGCUUAACUUGGAACUGCCGUUGAUACUAUCUGUCUUGAAUAUUUGUGGAGGUGAGCGGAAUAUGUCAUGUAGCGGUGAAAUGCUUAGAUAUGACAUAGAACACCAAUUGCGAAGCAGCUGGCUACACGAAUAUUGACACUGAUGCACGAAAGCGUGGGGAUCAAACAGG
rnacentral:rRNA from 1 species